AACGGCCGUAGGAACGUGUCCUGGGAUGGGGGAUAACGCUGGGAAACUGGCGCUAAUACCGCAUAUCUCCUGAGGGAGAAAGCCGCGAGGCGUCUUGGGAGCGGCCUGCGUCCGAUUAGCUUGUUGGUUAGGUAAUGGCUGACCAAGGCGAUGAUCGGUAGCUGGUCUGAGAGGAUGAUCAGCCACACUGGGACUGAGACACGGCCCAG
rnacentral:rRNA from 1 species